rnacentral:rRNA from 1 species
GAUGAACGCUGGCGGCAGGCUUAACACAUGCAAGUCGAACGAGAUCUUCGGAUCUAGUGGCAGACGGGUGAGGAACACGUGGGAACAUCCCUUUCAGUUCGGAAUAACGUUGGGAAACUAACGCUAAUACCGGAUACGUCCUUCGGGAGAAAGAUUUAUCGCUGAAAGAUUGGCACGCGUCUGAUUAGCUAGUUGGUGAGGUAACGGCUCACCAAGGCUACGAUCAGUAGCUGAUCUGAGAGGAUGAUCAGCCACAUUGGGACUGAGACACGGCCCAAACUCCUACGGGAGGCAGCAGUGGGGAAUAUUGGACAAUGGGCGCAAGCCUGAUCCAGCCAUGCCGCGUGAGUGAUGACGGCCUUCGGGUUGUAAAGCUCUUUUGUCCGGGAAGAUAAUGACUGUACCGGAAGAAUAAGCCCCGGCAAACUUCGUGCCAGCCGCCGCCGUAACAC